rnacentral:rRNA from 1 species
UACGUAGGGUGCGAGCGUUAAUCGGAAUUACUGGGCGUAAAGCGUGCGCAGGCGGCUUUGCAAGACAGAUGUGAAAACCCCGGGCUCAACCUGGGAACUGCAUUUGUGACUGCAAGGCUAGAGUACGGCAGAGGGGGAUGGAAUUCCGCGUGUAGCAGUGAAAUGCGUAGAUAUGCGGAGGAACACCAAUGGCGAAGGCAAUCCCCUGGGCCUGUACUGACGCUCAUGCACGAAAGCGUGGGGAGCAAACAGG